AUGAGGGUGAAGAGGCGGUCGCGGCACCGCAAGGUGGUCAAGUUCUACUCCACCUGCUUCGGCUUCCGCGAGCCCUACAAGGUGCUCGUCGACGGCACAUUCGUGCACCACCUCCUCGUCCACCAACUGCUUCCCGCCGACGACGCACUCCGCGAGCUCCUCUCCGCCGCCCGGGCGCCCCCGCUCUUCACCCCCAAGUGCGUCCAGGCCGAGCUCCGCCGCCUCGGCAAGUCCCACUCCCAGGCCUUCGACGCCGCCCAGCUCCUCGCCACCGCCAGUGCAGUGGAUUGUAUUCUGUCGCUGGUAGGUGAUAAGAAUCCGGAACACUACUUUGUUGCCACUCAGGAUUCUAAUCUCCGGGCUAAGCUACGGGAGGUUCCUUGUGUUCCUGUGAUAUACGGUCUGAAGAACUCCCUGUUUAUUGAGCAACCCUCUGCGCAGGAACGCAAGUUUGCUCAGUUGGAUGAGGAGAAGCGUAUACAUAUGGAAAAAUCAGAGUUUAAGAAGCUUCAUCAGAAGGAAAGAUGUCUCAAGUUUAAAAGGAACAGAGCAAAGGGCCCGAACCCACUAUCCUGCAAGAAAAAGAAACCAAAGCCCCAGCCAUCAGCUGAUCAAAAUCAGGGUCCGAAGACCGAUGCUGAGGCAAAGCGAAAGAGGGUUAGGAAACGGAAGAGAAGCGUCAAAGAUAGCAAUCAAGCAGAGACAGCGAGCUGA
rnacentral:rRNA from 1 species